GAUGAACGCUGGCGGCGUGCCUAAUACAUGCAAGUCGAGCGAACGGACGAGAAGCUUGCUUCUCUGAUGUUAGCGGCGGACGGGUGAGUAACACGUGGAUAACCUACCUAUAAGACUGGGAUAACUUCGGGAAACCGGAGCUAAUACCGGAUAAUAUUUUGAGCCGCAUGGUUCAAAAGUGAAAGACGGUCUUGCCGUCACUUAUAGAUGGAUCCGCGCUGCAUUAGCUAGUUGGUAAGGUAACGGCUUACCAAGGCAACGAUGCAUAGCCGACCUGAGAGGGUGAUCGGCCACACUGGAACUGAGACACGGUCCAGACUCCUACGGGAGGCAGCAGUAGGGAAUCUUCCGCAAUGGGCGAAAGCCUGACGGAGCAACGCCGCGUGAGUGAUGAAGGUCUUCGGAUCGUAAAACUCUGUUAUUAGGGAAGAACAUAUGUGUAAGUAACUGUGCACAUCUUGACGGUACCUAAUCAGAAAGCCACGGCUAACUACGUG
rnacentral:rRNA from 1 species